AAACUAGUAAAGGCUAUGGUGCUCCCUUUACACCCAAGUAAAGGCAUGUGGUUUGGGGGACGGAAGGAGAUUAAGCCAAUGCGGAAUGCCCUACACACACUCUAGCACCACCACUUUGGGGACUUCGGUUCUCCCGCUGGCUCGGGCUUGGACCUCGGUCUGCAGGGAGAGGGUUGGAGGGACUGGGCGGCUGCGGCCCUUACCUUGCUGACCACGUUCUGGACGAGGCCGGCGCGGAUGCCGUAGUCCCAUGCGCGGCAGUCACAGUUGGAGGCGUUGUCCCCCUUGUCCGGAGGGGAUGGCAGGGGUGGUGUGUCGCCUCCGUCCGCGCCGCUGCUGUUGCUCCGGUUGCCCGCAGCCUCCCAGGGGGCAGUGGCGAAGGGGGUGGUGGGGAGGCUGGUCCAGUUGCCCAUGUCCCCGCCCCGGCCUGUGGUGGUGACCCCUGCCAGCUCGGUGCCUUUGCCGGCCCCGCGGCACCAGAAGUUGGGCUGGUCCAGGAGGAACGAGUCCGAGAACUGGCUGAAGCCGAUGAACAGCGCCGGGAUCCAGGUACCCUACGCGAAGGAAGGAUCAUUGCACCAUUACGGAGACGAGGAUACAAACUGUCAGGCCUCUGAGCCCAAGCUAAGCCAUCACAUCUCCUGUGACCUGCACAUAUACAUCCAGAUGACCUG